CAGAUAAAAUUAUCAGAAUGAGGAUUAGGUCCUGCAGAAUGCAUCCAUUACGCUGAGAGAAUAUCAUAAAGUAAGCAUAGAAUGUUUGCUAUGGAAGCCCUUGAGAGAAUAUUGUUACGUCCCGUAUUUUUAUACAUUGGGACAACCCGGAUUAACUAUGAUAAUUUAAGGCCAAGGUUAUUCCGGGAUUUGAAGUCGGGACUUUUGACCAUUUGAUUUUAUUCGGAGACAUAAGUUAUAUAUGAAAUUGUUGGUAUUUGAACACUUAGGAGAAAUUGGGACCACAAUUCAUAAAAUUGGAAUUUAAAAUGUGGUGCAAAUGCCUUGGUGGCCGUGUGAAUUAAAAAGGGGUCCCACACAUUGUGUGGCCAAUUUUAAUUGGUCCAACACAUUGUGUGGGCCAAAGUCACUAAGAGAUAUUUUGGUAUACUUUUAAAAGAUGAAGACCAAGUCUUCUUUUAUCAUUUGGCUCAUUUUAACACUUAGAAAAUAAAAGAGAGAGAGAGAGCACCAAGCCAUGGAGGCUCUCGGCUGAACCAAGGGAAAACCAACCCCAUUUUUAACUUCCCUAAAAAUUAUUUCCUUGGUGUUAACCCACUAUAUUGAGGUCCCUAAGUAGCGUGGAAGAGUUGUUUGGGUCAUCCAACCAUUAGUUGUACCCAUUUGCAAACCCUAGCUAUUUGGUGGAUUGAAGAAGAGAGACCUUGGGGAGCCCGAGGCGUAAAUUCGGGUUAGCUUUAGAUUGGCUAUCUUGGAAGUGCGUUCGAGGUACCGACGCACAGUUUGGUGAUCCACCGCUUUAGGACACCCCUUUUGCUGUUGGAGUGCUCUUCUCCUUUCAGAGCAUACCUUUUGGUAUAUCUUUUGUUCGCUAUGUUUGUAUAUAUUCGUUCAGGGGUACGGCGGGGCCCUGUCCCGCCAUAUGAUUCGUUUGGUCUGUUUAGAGGUCUGUAGACUUAUUUGUGGGUGUGUGUGCCUACUUCUGUACAACUGUGUCCAUAUGAUCUCUUUCGUUAUGGCAGCCUUGUCGGCGUGCAUUUUGUAUAUGUUUUUGGGCCGUUGUGCCUUUUGAUAGCUUUGUCGGCUUUUGAUAUAAUUGACAGCCUUGUCGGCUUUUGACGUAUUUGAUAGCCUUGUCGGCUCUUCGAUAUAUGUAUAUGUAUAUAUUCGUGUUGAGACGGCAUAUAGCAUUUUUGCCGCAUAUACUAUUUGGAUGUGAUUCGAUAUGUACAGGUAUGUCAGGGUGCCCAAGUAGGGCACUAGUCACGGCCUACGGGAUUGGGUCGUGACAAAUAUGACCAAUAUGCAUGUACAAGUAUCGUGUAAUUUUAUAAAUGUCCUUGAUGACAAAUUGAUGCUAAAGUACAAGUACUGCAGAAUUCUAAAAACCCGAAUUGGUUUUAGGCAAUAUGUGAGUUUUGUAUGUGCAUCUGUGAUUACUGUGGUUUACCAUUAAGAAGAGUAUUUUUUUUUUUUUGGGGGGGGGGGGGGGGGGGUAGGGGGGUGGGGGGAGAAUGGAGAAGGGGGUUACAAUGUGGAGAUCCGAACCCUCACCAACAAGGUGAAAGUUCAGGUAGCCAACCAACUGAGCU